rnacentral:misc_RNA from 1 species
UGCCCUGUAGCUGCUGGUUCGUGU